UACAGAGGUCUCAAGCGUUGUUCGGAUUCACUGGGCGUAAAGGGCGCGCAGGCGGCUCGACAAGUCAGAUGUGAAAGCCCCGGGCUCAACCUGGGAACGGCAUUUGGGACUGUCGGGCUAGAGUUCGGGAGAGGUGGGUGGAAUUCCCAGUGUAGAGGUGAAAUUCGUAGAUAUUGGGAAGAACACCGGUGGCGAAGGCGGCUCACUGGACCGAGACUGACGCUGAGGCGCGAAAGCGUGGGGAGCAAACAGG
rnacentral:rRNA from 1 species